AUGGGCCGCCGACGGCGUCGUACCCCUAGCAUCAAACCGAUCACGCCAUGGAUUACGAUGCCAGUCCGGUGGUCCGAUCUCCCCGACGACCUCCUCCAGUUGGUCUACAGCAAGGUCGCCGGCCCGCUCAACCGCGUCCGCUUCGCCGCCGUGUGCAGGUCGUGGCGAGCUUGUGCGAUCACGUCGCCGCAUGCGUCGCCGCCCGUCCUCCCAUGGCUCAUCUUCAUCGACACCCGUGAGGACGUCAACAAGACGAAGGUGUACUGCCCCGAGGAUGGCCGGGUCUUCCGCAUGUCGCUGCCGAGCCAGGCGGUCGGCAAGCGAUUCGUGGGAGCCCAUGACGGCGGCUGGGUCGCCGUGCUUGGGCACGACAUGCAGCUCGCGGUCGUGAACCUCUUCUCCGGUGUAGAGAUGCCGCUCCUCGCCAAGAACAUGUGCUACCUAGGCGGCUGGUACAACAUUAGAAAGAUUGUCUUUUCGGAAUCCCCCACUUCAAGCGACUGCAUCCUCGCCACCGUCACAUCUGGAAACAAUGUCGCCCUCUGUAGAAUUGGUUGUCCCAACAGGGGAUGGACGGAAAAACAACUCGGGUUGUACCUUGUGGACAUUGUAUUCUGCAACGAACAACUCUAUGGACUCACCAUCUCCGAAGAGCUGAUCAAGUUCGAAAUAGGGGUGGACAAAGAUGGCAGGGCGGUGCUCAGCAGCAAACCGCACGCGAUGUCCAUCCGAGCGCGUCCCGGCGGUAUCACGCAACUGAACAACAUCAUCGAGUUACACGGCAAGCUAGUGAUGGUGGUUAGAUCAUUAUCGGAUGAAGCCUUCCUUGAGCCUUUCUUCAAGGUGUUUGAGCUUGUUGAUGAAUCGGACGCUUACAAGUGGGAGGAGGUAACGAGUUUGGGUGACUAUGCCAUCUUUUUAGGGAAAGCAUGGUCCAAGGCUGUGUGUGUGUCAUCUGUUGGACACGGUGGGUUGCGGAGAAGUUGCAUCUACAGUACCGAUGAUAUGGUGUGCUCCACGUGGUUGGAAGAUAAUCGUCGCCAUUUACAUCCUACGAGUGAUGAUGCCAUGUGGAAGAUCAGAUCAUAUGUAGUUGCUCGUGCUCCAGGUGGCAUGUGGGUUCUCCCACCGGAUUUCUAG
rnacentral:rRNA from 1 species